AACGCACAUUGCGCCCCCUGGUAUUCCGGCGGGCAUGCCUGUUCGAGCGUCAUUUCGACCCUCAAGCCCCGGCUUGGUGUUGGGACCUGGCCGCCCCUCCCCGGGCGGCCGUCCCGAAUGUCAGCGGCGACGCGACCGGAGUCCCAGCGAAGUGACACUUUUACCCCGCUGUUCGGAUUCCCGGGCGACGUCCGCCGGGCAACCCGCCCAUCUCCAAGAUUGACCUCGGAUCAGGUAGGGAUACCCGCUGAACUUAA
rnacentral:misc_RNA from 1 species